rnacentral:sRNA from 1 species
UAUCGCUUCCCUUCUGCAACAAGUACGCUUUCAAGUUGCUGCUGGCCGCACCAGCGACUGCGACUGCUGCGUCGGCGACUCGCUUUGCUUCAUCGAGGAUGUCCCCGAACGUGGAUUCAGUGAUGCCGGUUCGACGGAUGCGAGCCAGUAGGCCUGCAAGGAAUACCUUGCCUGUUAAUGGCAGACAGCGCAGUGACUGUUGGAGAGGUGUGGAGGUGGCUUCUUGGAUGGCUUGUUUGAUGGUUGCGAUGGUAACACGCGGGAGAGGGUUUGACUCCGUUUCUGAGAUCGGUGGAAGCUUGUUAUGUGCGGGUCCUGCUACGCGGUUUCGGCGCGAUGCGCUUUUGCUUGGUGUUGGAGGGAGUGAGGAUGUCUCCAUGUCAUCCAUAUGUAUGCCAUCUCUGUUGGAAAGCGAAAGGGCAGAUUUUAGUUUGGCCUUUUCUGCAAUUUCACUGGCUUGUUCUGCUAUUUCCACUGCUCUCCGGCAAAUGUCAAGGGCGCGUCGUGCGUCUCCGCUAACUGCGGCAACUUUACGGCUUGCGAAUUGAAUGGCAUCUGGGUCGACUAAGUUUCCCGGUCCAUCGUGUUGGCCACGGCUAGCACAAUCAAAUGGGAGUAUCGCAAUGCUGGCCAAUUGAAAAAGUUAUACAUAACCGAUUGAUUUUUAGUAACAAGCUGGUCUAGCUCGUCCAUCAAAACAACGCAUGGUACCCGACGAGGGGACGGGUGAGAGAACUCCCGUUCCAGAAGAUCAAGUGCAUGAGAUGGUGAAACGCGAUCGCCUUUCAGAGCCUCCCAAAGCAAUGAGUACGACUGGUGCGGAUCCGUAACUUUCAUGCCGUUAAUCUCAACAAAUACGAAGUCGUCUAAUUCUUCUGCGAGCACAGAUGCAUUAAGCUGCGCUAUCACUUCUCGAACAGUUGCGGUUUUCCCUGUACCGGGAGGUCCAGAUAUAUAAAUACAUGUUCCAGUGCCGUCAGUGAUAGCGAGACGCAGACAGUCGUAGACAGUGUUAAAUUCGCUGUCUCGACAAGGAAGAGAAGCCGGGACGCUUGACACAUGUAGAAGAUUGCGGGCCUGUCGAUAUGGAGAUGACGUAAAAUGAGAUGGAGAGAGUAUUCGAGUUCCUAAUGGAGUAAAUUCUACUGGUUUCUUGACCACAAUCCUGCCGGGGUUGUUAGCAUAUCAAAUAUGUAUGCAUUUAUUUGAAAUAUAUGGAUGGAUAGCGUACCUCUUAUGAGUUGGGGUAGUGAGAACCUUCCGACGAUGUCGGGAUUGCGGUGUCCCUGCUACUGAUGAGCUUUUGUGCUUUUUUCGUGGAGUAGUCGGCGCA